GAUGAACGCUGGCGGCGUGCCUAAUACAUGCAAGUCGAGCGAACGGACGAGAAGCUUGCUUCUCUGAUGUUAGCGGCGGACGGGUGAGUAACACGUGGAUAACCUACCUAUAAGACUGGGAUAACUUCGGGAAACCGGAGCUAAUACCGGAUAAUAUUUUGAACCGCAUGGUUCAAAAGUGAAAGACGGUCUUGCUGUCACUUAUAGAUGGAUCCGCGCUGCAUUAGCUAGUUGGUAAGGUAACGGCUUACCAAGGCAACGAUGCAUAGCCGACCUGAGAGGGUGAUCGGCCACACUGGAACUGAGACACGGUCCAGACUCCUACGGGAGGCAGCAGUAGGGAAUCUUCCGCAAUGGGCGAAAGCCUGACGGAGCAACGCCGCGUGAGUGAUGAAGGUCUUCGGAUCGUAAAACUCUGUUAUUAGGGAAGAUCAUAUGUGUAAGUAACUGUGCACAUCUUGACGGUACCUAAUCAGAAAGCCACGGCUAACUACGUG
rnacentral:rRNA from 1 species